UCCCCGGUGGCUCAGAUGGUAAAGCGUCUGCCUGCAACGCGGGAGACCCGGGUUCAGUCCCUGGGUUGGGAA
rnacentral:tRNA from 1 species